rnacentral:rRNA from 1 species
ACUCAAAUGAAUUGACGGGGGCCCGCACAAGCGGUGGAUUAUGUGGAUUAAUUCGAUGCAACGCGAAAAACCUUACCUGGCCUUGACAUGUAACGAACUUUCCAGAGAUGGAUUGGUGCUCGAAAGAGAACGUUAACACAGGUGCUGCAUGGCUGUCGUCAGCUCGUGUCGUGAGAUGUUGGGUUAAGUCCCGCAACGAGCGCAACCCUUGCCAUUAAUUGCCAUCAUUUAGUUGGGCACUUUAAUGGGACUGCCGGUGACAAACCGGAGGAAGGUGGGGAUGACGUCAAGUCCUCAUGGCCCUUAUGGCCAGGGCUUCACACGUAAUACAAUGGUCGGUACAGAGGGUUGCCAACCCGCGAGGGGGAGCCAAUCCCAGAAAGCCGAUCGUAGUCCGGAUUGUAGUCUGCAACUCGACUACAUGAAGUCGGAAUCGCUAGUAAUCGCGGAUCAGCAUGUCGCGGUGAAUACGUUCCCGGGCCUUGUACACACCGCCCGU